GACGAACGCUGGCGGCGUGCCUAAUACAUGCAAGUCGAACGCAGUGGGGACGGGUGAGUAACACGUGGGUAACCUCCCAUCAGAGGGGAUAACACUUGGAAACAGGUGCUAAACCGAUACUGAUGGAUGGACCCGCGGUGCAUUAGCUAGUUGGUGAGGUAACGGCUCACCAAGGCCACGAUGCAUAGCCGACGUGAGAGGGUGAUAGGGCACGCUGGGACGGAUACGCGACCCAGACUCCGACGGGGGACAGAAGUAGUGAAUCUUCGUAAAUGGAAGACAGUCUGACCGAGCAACGCCGGGUUAGUGAAGAAGGUUUUCGGAUCGUAAAACUCUGUUGUUAGAGAAGCGGUAACUAACCAGAAAGGGACGGCUAACUACGUGCCAGCAGCCGCGGUAAUAC
rnacentral:rRNA from 1 species